UACGUAGGGUGCAAGCGUUGUCCGGAAUUAUUGGGCGUAAAGAGCUCGUAGGCGGUUUGUUGCGUCGGCUGUGAAAUCCCGAGGCUCAACCUCGGGUCUGCAGUCGAUACGAGCAAACUAGAGUGUUGCAGGGGAGACUGGAAUUCCUGGUGUAGCGGUGAAAUGCGCAGAUAUCGGGAAGAACACCUGUGGCGAAGGCGGCUCUCUGGGACGGUACUGACGCUGAGACGCGAAAGCGUGGGGAGCAAACAGG
rnacentral:rRNA from 1 species